rnacentral:rRNA from 1 species
AGCGAACGCUAGCGGCGGGCUUAACACAUGCAAGUCGAGCGCGUAGCUUCGGCCACGAGCGGCGAACGGGUGAGUAACACGUAGGUCAUCUGCCCUUUGGUGGGGAAUAACCCGAGGAAACUCGGGCUAAUACCGCAUACUGCCUUCGGGUCAAAGGCUUCGGCCGCCAGAGGAUGAGCCUGCGUCGCAUUACCUAGUUGGUGGGGUAAUGGCCCACCAAGGGGACGAUGCGUAGCUGGUCUGAGAGGAUGAUCAGCCACACUGGGACUGAGACACGGCCCAGACUCCUACGGGAGGCAGCAGUGGGGAAUAUUGCGCAAUGGGGGAAACCCUGACGCAGCCACGCCGCGUGGGUGAUGAAGGCCUUCGGUUGUAAAGCCCUGUCGGGGGGACGGAAGUACUGACGGUACCCGUCCAACGAAAGAC